ACCCCAAAAUUUUCUGAUUUUUUUUCUUUUUUUUUCUCUUUUUUUUCCCUUGAACCCCGAUACUUCUUUGAUUGAUUUUUUUUGUUUUUCUUGAACCCCACAACUUUUCAAUUAAUUUUGCACGGAUAAUCCCUGAUCACCACAUUUGGACCCCGAUAACUUCAUGUCAAUCUUGCUGCCAAACAAUGAACCUCGUUCUCCCUUUUCCCAUGCUAAUUCCGUUGGCAAUGCCGG
rnacentral:lncRNA from 1 species